rnacentral:rRNA from 1 species
UACGUAGGGCGCAAGCGUUGUCCGGAAUUAUUGGGCGUAAAGAGCUCGUAGGUGGCUUGUCACGUCGGGUGUGAAAGCUUGGGGCUUAACUCCAGGUCUGCAUUCGAUACGGGCUGGCUAGAGGUAGGUAGGGGAGAACGGAAUUCCUGGUGUAGCGGUGAAAUGCGCAGAUAUCAGGAGGAACACCGGUGGCGAAGGCGGUUCUCUGGGCCUUACCAGACGCUGAGGAGCGAAAGCGUGGGGAGCGAACAGG